rnacentral:tRNA from 1 species
CGUGGCUCAGCGGUAGAGCAUCGCCUUGCCAAGGCGAGGGUCGCGGGUUCGAUUCCCGUCGUCCGCUCCA